GCUUCAGCCGACACCCCCUACAAUUCCUUUCUCUGCAUUUCUUGAAGAAACACUAACUACGUAUAACAUACCAUCCUUUUCAUCUUUACUUUUACAAAAAUGGAGCCCUAGUCAGAUCACUACAGCCACACGCACCAGAUCCACUCUCAGUCCCUCUCGUCUGCUCGACCGGUGACAGGAGCGGGGGUGCCAGCUGUGAACUCCGACAACACCCUCCGCCAGUCCUCACCAGCCGAUGGCCAGAGCUGUGUUUCCGGCAACAUAUAACCCCCCCCUCUCGACUUCUCGGUAAACCACACCUCAUAUCAUCAUCUUUCACCUGCUACACACAUACUGAGAUUAGAAUGGACGAGCUUGAGUAGAGACAGAGAGUUCAACAGAGAGUGAUCGGGAGAAAAGGGAGCCGCGCUACCGCUCACGGAUACGGAAGUGGACACCGGCGAUGGCAAGGCGGUAAUGUUCUUGUUUCUUUCGACGAGUUUACCCUGUAAAUCCCUCUCCAUUUUCUUUCAUUUUGUUCUUUUUCUUCCGAUGAUACGAUGAUGAUAAUAGUGGUGUUAUUCUACCCUACAAGAGUCACCAAUGAUGUCUGGGGGUGUUAAGGCGGGGCGUUGCCGCCGGCGGCGGUGGUCGAACCAGCGACAGCAGCCAUGGAAGUGGUGGAAGGCUCAAACCCAGGCUCGUGUUUCAGGUCACGGCUCGGCUCAAGUUCAAAUGCUCAAGACUCGGGUAAUGUUCCAGAUUCAUCUUACGGGCGGUUCACAUUUUCGGUUCGGGUUUGGUCAGCCGUAGCCGACGUCAGGUUCAGUCAACAAGUCAACGGUUCGAGUUUGGUAAAACCCGGUCAAGAUCAGCAGAUUGGGUUUCGGUUCGGUUCAGUCAAAGACGGUCAACAGCAGAUCUGUGCGGUUCGGGUUCCUAGGAACGAGUCAACUCGGUCAAACCGAGUCGACUCGGUCAAACACAGUCAACCCGAGUCAACUCUGUUGACUCGGUCCACUAAGUUAGCGUUUUCGACAUGAGGAUUUGAAUGCACGCUAGCGAGUCACGUCUUGAAAACGACAUCACGAAGUCGUAUGUAGCUAGC